rnacentral:rRNA from 1 species
CCUACGGGAGGCAGCAGUAGGGAAUAUUGCUCAAUGGGGGAAACACUGAAGCAGCAAAGCCGCGUGGAGGAUGAAGGUUUUCGGAUUGUAAACUCCUUUUGUUAGAGAAGAUAAUGACGGUAUCUAACGAAUAAGCACCGGCUAACUCCGUGCCAGCAGCCGCGGUAAUACGGAGGGUGCAAGCGUUACUCGGAAUAACUGGGCGUAAAGAGCGCGUAGGCGGGAUAGCAAGUCAGAUGUGAAAGUCUAUGGCUUAACCAUAGAACUGCAUUUGAAACUGGUAUUCUAGAGUAUGGGAGAGGUAGGUGGAAUUCUUGGUGUAGGGGUAAAAUGCGUAGAUAUCAAGAGGAAUACUCAUUGCGAAGGCGAGCUGCUGGAACAUAACUGACGCUGAUGCGCGAAAGCGUGGGGAGCAAACAGGAUUAGAUACCCCUGUAGUC